AGUGAACGCUGGCGAUAGGCCUAACACAUGCAAGUCGAACGGCAGCACAGUAAGAGCUUGCUCUUACGGGUGGCGAGUGGCGGACGGGUGAGGAAUACAUCGGAAUCUACUUUUUCGUGGGGGAUAACGUAGGGAAACUUACGCUAAUACCGCAUACGACCUACGGGUGAAAGCAGGGGAUCUUCGGACCUUGCGCGAUUGAAUGAGCCGAUGUCGGAUUAGCUAGUUGGCGGGGUAAAGGCCCACCAAGGCGACGAUCCGUAGCUGGUCUGAGAGGAUGAUCAGCCACACUGGAACUGAGACACGGUCCAGACUCCUACGGGAGGCAGCAGUGGGGAAUAUUGGACAAUGGGCGCAAGCCUGAUCCAGCCAUACCGCGUGGGUGAAGAAGGCCUUCGGGUUGUAAAGCCCUUUUGUUGGGAAAGAAAAGCAGCAGGUUAAUACCCCGUUGUUCUGACGGUACCCAAAGAAUAAGCACCGGCUAACUUCGUG
rnacentral:rRNA from 1 species